GGGCAGAGGGGCAGCGGGCAGGGUUGGGUCCAGACUCAGACCCACCCGCCUCAUCACCCUGGAAACCAGGUCCCCUCCUGGAGUCACUGGUCUACCCCUCCCAGCCGAGGGCCUGGGCCCCAGCCCUGGAGGGCUCAGCUCUUGGCAGAGGCCGCAUAGGCAGGCAGUGCCUGACCCUCUCCAGGAACUGGAGGAGGCAGCUUUUGUGUAGAGCCACUGACUACUGCCAGGACCCAGGGCUGACCUCUGCCCUCUCCAGCCUGAAGCUUGCCAGUGAGGACAAGGAGCAGAAGCUGGCACUCCUAGAGGAGGCACGGACAGCCGUGGUCAAGGAGGCCGGGGAGCUGUGAACUGGGCUGCAGGAGCUGGAGCGCUCGUGGCUGGAGGCUCGGCAGGAGCUGCAGGAGCUCCAGCAUCAGGUACUCUCCCUGCGCCACCCCUUGCCCUGGGGCUUGCUGUGUGUCCUAGGGCCAGUAGCUCCCCCUUUCUGGAAUCAUGUUUCCCCCUAUGUAAAACCAGGGCCUUGAACUCUGACUCGCCCUCUCACCUAACCUUCAUGUGAAUGGAUGGGCUUUGAGGAGUCCUUGAAUCCCUGAAUCUGUGCAAAAGUCUGCGAGCAUUUGUGUGCACGCUCAGGCUCACGUUUCUCCAAGGAGAGGAGCUGGUGUCCUUGUCCAGUUCUCAAAGGAAUCUGCGAACAACAAAAGGUACAGAUUUCAUGAACUAGGUCAGAGGUUGGCAAAUUGUUUUUUGUAAAGAGCCCAAAUGGUAAAUAUUUCCGGCUUGACCGGCCACACAGUCUCUGUUGCAGCUACUUGGCUCUGCCGGGGUAGUGAGAAAGCAGCCCCAAACAGCACAUGAACAGAGGGGUGUGGGUUCCAGUCAAACUUUGUUUAGGGACACUGAAAUGUGAAUUUUCUGUCACUUUCAUGUGUCAAGAAAUACUGUUCCUCCUUUAGAAAAGACUAUUCAGGGCUUGGUUAGUUAGGAGGUUUCGUCUAAGAGAAUGGGAAGGUGUUUAAGUGGUUCAGGCUGGGAAGUGACAGGGUCACAUUAUAUUCUGAAAAAGCCACUCUGCCAGUUGUGUUGAGAUUAGAGAGGCGAUAAAGGGGAUAUGCGUAAACCACAAGAAACUAGGUCAGUAGUCCCUCCACCCCCACUCCCCACGUGAAGGUAGCCUAGACUAGGGUGCUGAUGGAAGAGACAGAAGAGGACACAUUCAAGGAAAAUUUGGAAGAAGUACAGGAAGGAUUAAAUUACUUCUGAUGGAGAGAGAAUUCAGUUUCUGAGAGAAGACAGGACAUCAUUCAUCACUUUUGUGAUGAGUGUUCAUCUCUGACUUCUCACUGGACCAAGGGCCCGAAGAUACCACCAUGCUGACGUUUGUGGCAGAAGAGCUGGAGCCAGGGACUGGGGAGAAAAAAACCCAAACACAUGAUGGGUUAAUAGCUGGUGAAAUCAAAUAAGUUGAAUCAGGACUGAGGGAUGUCACUGACAGCCUUGUCCACUGAUUUGAAGAUGCUGUUUCCCUGCUUUCACUCUUCUCAUCUCCACUCUUGAUCUCCUGUAAGUCAACUUGUCUGAGCUACGCAGUCACCUUGAAACCAGAACACAAACACUUCCACCCUUUUCUUGCUUACAAGUUUCUAUAAAGCAAGGCUGGGCUCUGAACUUUUUACCCCAUGAGUGGCCAAUGUUUCUGUGUAGCUCGAGACUGUUUUUUGUUUCGUUAAUUUUUUUGUUUGAUUGGUUGGUUGGUUUUGGUUUUUUAUGUUUUGUUUGAGAAGGAGUCUCACUGUGUUGCCCAGGCUGGAGUGCAGUGG